rnacentral:rRNA from 1 species
AUACAGAGGGUGCGAGCGUUAAUCGGAAUUACUGGGCGUAAAGCGCGCGUAGGCGGUCUAUUAAGUCAGAUGUGAAAUCCCAGGGCUCAACCUUGGAACUGCAUCUGAUACUGAUAGACUUGAGUUUUGGAGAGGGAAGUAGAAUUUCAGGUGUAGCGGUGAAAUGCAUAGAGAUCUGAAGGAAUACCAGUGGCGAAGGCGACUUCCUGGCCAAAAACUGACGCUGAGGUGCGAAAGCGUGGGUAGCAAACGGGAUUAGAAACCCUAGUAGUCC